CCUACGGGCGGCAGCAGUGGGGAAUAUUGGACAAUGGGCGAAAGCCUGAUCCAGCCAUGCCGCGUGUGUGAAGAAGGCCUUCGGGUUGUAAAGCACUUUCAGUGGGGAAGAAAGCCUUGGGGCUAAUACCCUCGAGGAAGGACAUCACCCACAGAAGAAGCACCGGCUAACAUCCGUGCCAGCAGCCGCGGUAAUACGGAGGGUGCGAGCGUUAAUCGGAAUUACUGGGCGUAAAGCGCGCGUAGGCGGUCUGAUAAGCCGGUUGUGAAAGCCCCGGGCUCAACCUGGGAACGGCAUCCGGAACUGUCAGGCUAGAGUGCAGGAGAGGAAGGUAGAAUUCCCGGUGUAGCGGUGAAAUGCGUAGAGAUCGGGAGGAAUACCAGUGGCGAAGGCGGCCUUCUGGACUGACACUGACGCUGAGGUGCGAAAGCGUGGGUAGCAAACAGGAUUAGAUACCCUAGUAGUC
rnacentral:rRNA from 1 species